rnacentral:rRNA from 1 species
AGUGAACGCUGGCGGUAGGCCUAACACAUGCCAGUCGAACGGCAGCACAGUAAGAGCUUGCUCUUACGGGUGGCGAGUGGCGGACGGGUGAGGAAUACAUCGGAAUCUACUUUUUCGUGGGGGAUAACGUAGGGAAACUUACGCUAAUACCGCAUACGACCUACGGGUGAAAGCAGUGGAUCUUCGGACCUUGCGCGAUUGAAUGAGCCGAUGUCGGAUUAGCUAGUUGGCGAGGUAAAGGCCCACCAAGGCGACGAUCCGUAGCUGGUCUGAGAGGAUGAUCAGCCACACUGGAACUGAGACACGGUCCAGACUCCUACGGGAGGCAGCAGUGGGGAAUAUUGGACAAUGGGCGCAAGCCUGAUCCAGCCAUACCGCGUGGGUGAAGAAGGCCUUCGGGUUGUAAAGCCCUUUUGUUGGGAAAGAAAAGCAGCAGGUUAAUACCCCGCUGUUCUGACGGUACCCAAAGAAUAAGCACCGGCUAACUUCGUG